rnacentral:rRNA from 1 species
GAUGAACGCUGGCGGCGUGCCUAAUACAUGCAAGUCGAGCGAACAGACGAGGAGCUUGCUCCUUUGACGUUAGCGGCGGACGGGUGAGUAACACGUGGGUAACCUACCUAUAAGACUGGGAUAACUUCGGGAAACCGGAGCUAAUACCGGAUAAUAUUUCGAACCGCAUGGUUCGAUAGUGAAAGAUGGCUUUGCUAUCACUUAUAGAUGGACCUGCGCCGUAUUAGCUAGUUGGUAAGGUAAUGGCUUACCAAGGCAACGAUACGUAGCCGACCUGAGAGGGUGAUCGGCCACACUGGAACUGAGACACGGUCCAGACUCCUACGGGAGGCAGCAGUAGGGAAUCUUCCGCAAUGGGCGAAAGCCUGACGGAGCAACGCCGCGUGAGUGAUGAAGGUCUUCGGAUCGUAAAACUCUGUUAUUAGGGAAGAACAAACGUGUAAGUAACUGUGCACGUCUUGACGGUACCUAAUCAGAAAGCCACGGCUAACUACGUG